rnacentral:rRNA from 1 species
GGCAGCAGUAGGGAAUAUUGCACAAUGGGCGAAAGCCUGAUCCAGCCAUGCCGCGUGUGUGAAGAAGGUCUUCGGAUUGUAAAGCACUUUAAGUUGGGAGGAAGGGCAGUAAGUUAAUACCUUGCUGUUUUGACGUUACCGACAGAAUAAGCACCGGCUAACUCUGUGCCAGCAGCCGCG